rnacentral:rRNA from 1 species
GUGAGGAAUAUUGCGCAAUGGGCGAAAGCCUGACGCAGCGACGCCGCGUGGAGGAUGAAGGUCUUCGGAUUGUAAACUUCUGUUAAGUGGGAAGAAAGGGCUGUUUUUAAUAGAAGCAGUUAAUGACGGUACCAUUAAAGAAAGCACCGGCUAAACUCGUGCCAGCAGCCGCGGUAAUACGAGUGGUGCAAGCGUUAUUCGGAAUAAUUGGGCGUACAGGGUGUGUAGGCGGUAUGUUAAGUCUGUUGUUAAAGACUCCGGCCUAACCGGAGACAGGCAGCGGAAACUGGCGUACUAGAGGGUGGAAGAGAGAAGUGGAAUUCUCGGUGUAGCGGUAAAAUGCGUAGAUAUCGAGAGGAACACCGAUGGCGAAGGCAGCUUCUUGGUCCAUACCUGACGCUGAAACACGAAAGCGUGGGGAGCAAACAGGAUUAGAAACCCGUGUAGUCC